GACAGAGGGUGCAAGCGUUAAUCGGAAUUACUGGGCGUAAAGGGUUCGUAGGCGGUUGACUAAGUCGGAUGUGAAAUCCCUGGGCUUAACCUAGGCAUGUCAUUCGAUACUGGUUGACUAGAGUUGGGUAGAGGAAAGUGGAAUUUCCGGUGUAGCGGUGAAAUGCGUAGAUAUCGGAAGGAACACCAGUGGCGAAGGCGGCUUGCUGGACCCAAACUGACGCUGAGGAACGAAAGCGUGGGUAGCAAACAGG
rnacentral:rRNA from 1 species